rnacentral:rRNA from 1 species
CGAACGCUGGCGGCAGGCCUAACACAUGCAAGUCGAACGAGAAGCUUCCUUCGGGAAGUGGAGAGUGGCGCACGGGUGAGUAACGCGUGGGAAUUUGCCUUUUGGUACGGGAUAACGUCUGGAAACGGACGCUAAUACCGUAUGAUAUCUACGGAUUAAAGAUUUAUCGCCAGAAGAGGAGCCCGCGUAGGAUUAGGUAGUUGGUGGGGUAAUGGCUCACCAAGCCGACGAUCCUUAGCUGUUCUGAGAGGAAGAUCAGCCACACUGGAACUGAGACACGGUCCAGACUCCUACGGGAGGCAGCAGUGGGGAAUAUUGGACAAUGGGGGCAACCCUGAUCCAGCCAUGCCGCGUGAGUGAAGAAGGCCCUAGGGUUGUAAAGCUCUUUCGCCAGGGAAGAUAGUGACGGUACCUGGUAAAGAAGUCCCGGCUAACUCC